UAAAGAUCCUAUAUAGCCAAAGCCAUUUUGAGCAAGAAGAACAAAGCUCAAGGCAUCAUACUUCCUUAUUUCAAUAUAGAUUACAAAGCAACAGUAAUCAAAACAGUAUGAUACAGACAUAAAAACAGGCAAAUAUACCAGUGGAACAGAAUAAAAAGCCCAGAAAUAAACUAACCUACACAUAUACAGACACGAAUUCUGAGAAGAGUGCCAAGAACACAUACUGGAAAAAGAGUAGUCUCUUCAAUAAAUGGUGUUGGGAAAAUUGUAUCCGCAUGAAAAAAUAAAAUUAAAUUAAACCCUUAUUUUACAACCUUACAACAUAAACAAAAAUCAAUUCAAAAUGGAUUAAAGACUUAAACAUAAAACCUGAAACUAUAAAACUCCUAAGAGAAAACAUAGGGAAAACCUUCCUGACAUUGGUCUUGGCAAUGAUUUAUUGGACAUGACACCAAAAGCACAAGCAACAAAAGCAAAAAUAGACAAGUUACAUUAAACUAAAAAGCUUCUACGUAGCAAAGGAAAAAAAUCAACAAUAUAAAAAGGCAACUUAUAGAGUGAGAGAAAAUAUUUGCAAACCACAUAUCUGAUAAAGGGUUAAUACCAAAAUAUAUAAGAAACUCAUGCAACUCAAUAGCAAAAUAAUAUUAAUAAUAACCCAAUUUAAAAAAUGGACAAAACAAACUGAAUAGACAUUCCCCACAGAGGACAUACAAAUGGUUAACAGGUACAUGAAAAGGUGUUAAACAUCACUAGUCAUCAGGGAAAUGCAAUUGGAAACCACAAUGAGGUAUCCCCUCACACUUUGUAGAAUGGCUAUUAUCAAAAAACAAAAGAUAAUAAAUGUUUAUGAGGAUGUGGAGAAAAGGAAUCCUUGUACACUGUUGGUGGGAAUGUAAAUUAGCACAGCCAUUAUGGAAAGCAAUAUGGAGGUUUCUUUAAAAAAUUAAACAUAGAACUACUACAUGAUCCAGCAAUCCCACUUCUGGGUGUAUAUCAAAAGGAAUUGAAAUCAGAAGCUUAAAGAUAUAUCUUCAUUGCCAUGUUCAUUGCAGCAUUAUUCACAACAGCCAAGAUAUGGAAUCAACCAAUUGUUCAUUGACAGAAUAAUGGAUAAAGAAAAUAUAGUAUCCACAUACAAUAUUUAGCCUUAAAAAGAAGAAGAAAAUCCUGCCACUUGUGGCAACUUGGAUGAACCUGAAGGAUAUUAUGUUAAGUAAAAUAAGCCAGAUACAGAAGAACAAAUAUUACAUGAUGCCACUUACACGAAGAAUCUAAAAUAGUCAAACUCACAGAAGCAGAAAGUAAAAUGGUGGUUGUCAGGAGACAGAGGAAAGGGAAAAUAGGGAGAUAUUAGUCAAAAGGUACGAAGUUCCUGAUGUACAAAUUGAGUAAGUCCUAGAGAUCUACUGUACCAUAUACUGCCUAUAGUUAAUAUUAUAUUUUAUACUUAAAAGAUGCUGAGGGUGGAUCUUAUGUUGUGUUCUUAUCACACACAUGCAAAUACUAAUAAUAAAUAAAAAGGUGGGAGAAAUUUUACAGGUAAUGGAUAGGUUUAUGUCACAGAUUGUGGUGAUAGUUUCAUGGGAGCAUACUUAUCAAGUUGUACACUUUAAAUAUGUACCACUUUUUACAUGUCAAUCAUACCUCAAUAAAGCUGUUUAAGAAAUAUUGUGUAAGGAAAUAUAUCAAUGUUUGGGAGAUCUGUGUAACUUAGUGAACCAAUAUUUACCAAACAACUAAUUAAUGCAUAAUGUAACAAGUAUUAAAAUUUAUUUCACAUGGUUUCAGAAUUUACAUUGGGAAACAUCUUUAAGAAAUUACUAUUUGUCAGUAUUGGUGUGGAAGCAAAAAAAAGAAUAUACAUAAUUAUGUAAAAAGGCUAUAAAAAUAUUUCUUCUUUUUCCAACUAUGUAUCUGCGUGAAGCCAGAUUUUCUUCAAAUAUGUCAAUUAAGACUACGUAUCACAACAGAUUGAAUGCUGAAGUGGACAGAAAAACCCACUGUCUUUCUUUAAAUCAGAAAACUACCUUGGACUACGAGGGUGUGGGGUGAGCCAGCCAUUACCCCCACCCUGAAGCCUGUCCCCCUUUUCUUCUCCAUGGACUACAAGGGGUCUUGAGGGCAUGCAGGUGAACACCCAGAUCACAAGUCCAAGCAGAUACCCACCUGCUGCAAACAGCUACCUAUUGGCCACCUUUUGGGCCUAGGGGUAUGCAUAUCUACAGCGACAUCCACUUUCAGAAGGACAGACACUUUGAAGAAACCUAUGUAGGCCCUGGAGGCAGGAUUUGGACCAUUUGGGCAAGAAAUCCAGGGUUCCAGAUAUUAAUGAGAAAGAGUUCGUCCUUCCCGUAACGUUUUCUCUGUGAGUCCUGCCUGUCAAUGGAGUCUUAGUAAAAAAAGGAAAAAGAAGAUCUGAUAGGGUUAAGUGACUUCUCCAGGGCUCCACAGUGGCAAGUGGCAAAGGCGGGGUUAGGAGACCAGACUUCUGACUUUACGGGGCUAUGCCUGUGUUUCAUGCUGCUUCCCCCUAGUCUGAUAUUGUAAAGGAGUCACCAAAUCUAUGUCUCCAGCUGAGAUGAGAAGAAAUUGGAUUUCCUGAGAAUCAUGAUAGCUGCCUCUUACUAAACCCUGGCUAUGCUCAGGCACCAUUCCAAGAACUUUAAGUAUAUGAUCUCUAACAAUAACAACCUGGCAAUGUAAGUAUUGUUAUUCUCUUCUUACAUAUGUGACAAUGACAAUUCAGAGUUGUUAGGUAACUAUUCCAAUUAUAAACUUCAAUAAAUGUCAAUAUGUGUGUGUGUGUACACAUAUAUGUAUACACAUACAUAUAUACACAUAUAUGCACACACAUACAUAUAUACAUAUAUGCACACACAUACAUAUAUACAUAUAUGCACACACAUACAUAUAUACACAUAUAUGUGCACACACAUACAUAUAUACACAUAUAUGUGUACACACAUACAUAUAUACACAUAUAUGUGUACACACAUGCAUAUAUACACACAUAUAUGUGUACACACAUGCAUAUAUACACACAUAUAUGUGUACACACAUGCAUAUAUACACACAUAUAUGUGUACACACAUGCAUAUAUACACACAUAUAUGUGUACACACAUGCACAUAUAUACACAUAUAUGUGUACACACAUGCCCAUAUAUACACAUAUAUGUGUACACACAUGCAUAUAUAUACACAUAUAUGUGUACACACAUGCAUAUAUAUACACAUAUAUGUGUGCACACAUGCAUAUAUAUACACAUAUAUGUGUGCACACAUACAUAUAUUUAUAUAUUCCUGCCUAUGUUCAUGUAAAAUUGUGACAAGAUUCCACCAAAUUGCCCUUCAAAAAGGAUUGCACAAAAUCGAUUGUGACUUUUCCCCACACCCUGGUAAUAUUGUUUAUUAUAUACUUUAUUUUUUUUCCAAUUUGAUGGGUAAAAAUGACAUCCCAUCAAGGGUUCUUUAGUUUAUAUUUCAUGAAUCAUGAGGUUUAGUAACUUUUUAAUACAUAUGCUGGACACUUAGAGUCUUUUCUUUUUAACUAAUAUAUGCUUUCCUUUGGGGUUCUUUUUCUUUGGCUAUUUGUUGAAGACAACUUGACUCUAUCAAGUAUUUGGCAAAUAUUUUUGUGAAUUUAAAACAAACUGAAAACAAUCUAGGUUUCUAUCAAUGGAAAAUGAAUUUAUAAUUUAUGGUGUAUCCAUACAAUGAGAUACUGCUAUGGUUGAAUGUGUCCCCCAAAGGUCAUGUGUUGGAAACUUAAUCUCCAAGACAACAGCCUUGAGAGGCAGGAUUUUUAAGACAUGACUAGGGAUGAGGGCUCUGCCCUCAUAGGUAGGUUAAUGUCACUGUGGUGGAAGUGGGUGAGUUAUCACAGGAGUGGAUUUCUGAUAAAAGAAUGAGUUCAGCCUCUUUCCCCUCUUUCUUGUGUGCACUCCCUUACUCCUCUGCCACCCACCACGGGAUGACAAAGCAAGAAAACUCUUUCUGGAUGUGGGCUCCUUAACCUUUGACUUUCCAGUUUCAAGCACUGUAAGAAAUAAAUAUAUGUUCUUUAUAAGUUACCCAGUCUGUGAUAUUCUAGUUCACAACUGUUACAGAAGUUAUUGAAAAAGGCAAUGGACUGAUUUGGAAAGAUGCUCAAAAUAUAUUGUUAAGUGAACUAGAAAAUGGCAGGAUUAUAUAUAUAGUAGACUCCCCACUAAAGCACUUAUGCAUAUACUUAUAUACACUUGUGAAUUUAUGGACAAUAGUAAGAUGUGGGUGUGGAUGUUUCUAGUAGAUAGAAAUGGCCUUGAGGGCAAGGUUAACUUUUACUUUUUAUUUUUUGCUUUUUACUUUUAUUUUUGUAUAGUAGCAUGUAUUACUUUUAUAAUAAAAAUAAUUAAUAGUAACUUUGUAACAUUGGCUUUGAAAAGUAAUUUGCUUUUUAGGAGACACAGUAACAGGUGAGUCAGGUUCUGUCUUCUAUACCAUGCUGCCUCUGGGCAGAAACAAGGCUUUUCUGCAGCACAUUGAUGUUCCCAAGGCAGGCUUUAAUGGCCCCCCUGCUUUCCAUCAAACAAAGGGAAACCUCUGUGAGAGGUGGCAGAGAGCCAUGGAAGGAAGGGCAGGAGGCUGAGAAAGUAUCUGAGGAUGAAGCAUCACCAACCAUGAGGCUGCACAUUGCUUUCUCUUACUAAUGAUGAUAAUAUCAGCUCUCAUUGUCUGACAAAACUGAGGCUUUUCAGAAGCUGCAUUUCCCACACUGAGGUCAAGAUACUUCUAUUGCCAAGGAAGGGUAAAUGGAUAGGAGGAGGCAAAUUCUCCAGGGAUGAGGAUAGUGCCGGAAGUGGAGGAUGCCCUUCUACUAGAAUUGGUCCGAUGUUUUCCUCAUGGUGAGACUGGAGUUAUGGGUUUUGAAGAGGAAGAUUACAGAGAAUUUCCACUGAUGCCAUUGCUUGAAGGGAGGCUUGGAGGCCGAGAAGAAGGAAGUGAUUCCAGAAAGGUAUCACCAUUCCUCAGUUACGAAACCCAAGUGAGACCACAAUAUCCUGACUUCCAGUCUAGAGCUAUCUGUAAUGCAAUAAAUCUCUUCACAGGAGCAUAUACACUGGGAACGGGAACUCUCACAGGAGAUUCUCUCCCUUGUUGAUUGGAAAAAGCCAGCUGCCAUGUUGUGAGUAUCCCAUUUAAAAGGGCUAUAUGGCAAGGAACCGAGGGCAGCCUUCAGCUGACAGCCAGCAAGAAACCAAGAUCCUCAGUCUGGUAGCUUGCAAGGCACUGAAUUCUGCCAACAACUGCGUGAGCUUGGAAGUGGAUCCUUCCUCAGUUAAGCCUUGGACAAGACCCAAGCCCUGUUGGACGCUUUAAUUACAGCCUUGCAGAGAACCCAGCUAAGGGGCCCAGAUAAAACAAAAAGGCAGAGGAAAGGUGAAUUCACUCUCUCUCUCCUGAAGCUGGGGUACUUUUAUCUCUUGCCCUUGGACAUCAGAACUCCAGGUUCUCUGGCCUUUGGACUCUGGGACUUGCACCAGCUCCCGGCUUCUCAGGACUUCAGCCUCAGAUUGAGAGUCACUCCAUUAACUUUCCUGGUUUAAAAGCCUUUAUACUUGGACUGAGAAACACCAACAGCUUCCCUGGGCUUCCAACUUGCAGAUGACCUAUCACAGGACUUCUCAGCCUCCAUAAUCGCAUGAGCCAAUUCUCCUAAUAAGUCCCCUUUCACAUAUCUAUUUAUCUACAUACGUAUAUCCUACUGGUUCUGUCUUUCUCAGGAACCCUGACCAAUAUAGUAUGUAUCUCUAAAAGAUAAGGACAUCAAAAAAUAUUACCGCGUCUAAAAAUAAAGUGAUUUCUUAACGUCAUGAAAUAUCCAAUUGCUCUCCAAAUUUUCACAAUUACAAAAGUCCACAUGUUGCAUUUAAUUUUAAUGCCUCUUAAUUCUCCCUUAAUUUUGAGAUUGCCUUUUAAGUAAGGCAGUUUAGCUCCCUAGUUUCACUCUAGCCCAUCCAAGGUGUUUCCAAAAACCUCACCUUCACACUAACCACAUCCAUUAUAAGCUGCUUCUUAAACGAUGAGAGCUCUCACUCUCUAAAAGGAAUUCUAAGCAUACCUCUUAAAGUAAUAACAUAUUAUAUCUCUACUAAGUUUAUAAUCAUAAAGAAUGUGGGUAUUUGCAUUCUCAUUUUACAGAUGGGAAAAUUAGUGUAGGUAACACAUAUAGAGAGGUGAUAAAUAGCAAUGGUUUCCAAGAAUGAUGACGAUUUCAGUGUGAAACAGAGAGUAGCAAUGGCAAGAGAUACAGCUAAGUAAAUGUGGAUGGUGAGGGACCCAUUCUGCCUUGUUAAAAGGUUUGAACCCACCCUAUAGACAAUAAAUCACUCAGUGAAUCACUGAGCAAUUUUAAUUAUGGAAGCAAUGUGAUCAGAUUUAUAUUUAAGGCAAGAGGAUUGGUGGCAAUGUAGAAGGCAAACACAAGUCAGAAAGAGUUAGAAGUAAGAAAAGUGAGUAGUCUGAAGAAAUUGGACACAUAAGAGAUGAGGGGGCUGGAAUGACUAACUAUGCAUCUUAUUCUGAAAUAUGUCUCUUAGGUAAUUGAUUAUUGAUACCCCACAUCCAAAUAGUGGGACAGUUAACUGAGAUGUCAGAGCCAGCCUUUUCAACACUUCUAGAGAGAAAUUUUGCAAAGACACAUCUCUUGUACCUCCAUGGACUUUUAAUACAGAUAUGUUUAUCAUAAGAUAACCUUCUAAAGAGCUCAUGAUAGCAUAUGAUCAAACUCCUUAUUGUACAGUCAGGAGGAAUCAGCCUUGUUGAAGGAAGGGGCUUACCCAAAGUUACAAGUUGGGACAAAAUUUUUGCUUCCAAUUCACUGCUGUUCUUACUAGAACUGUUUUCUCCAGUCUCAUAGAAGUUCUGAGAAACAAUUAGGCCCACACUAUCAUCAACAGGCAAAUAUGUGUGCCUGACCAGACAGACAGAGAGGUAUUUUGAGAGAGGCCAGGAAUGAAACUGGUGAAGAGGCCCAGAGUUUCAAUCCUGUUCUCACUCAAGAUUCAUCAUCAUCAUCAUCUUUACUAUAAGGAAGAGGGCAUUUAAAAGCACAAAUGAGAUUGUUAGUGAUAAAAAGGUACUUAUACACCAGCCAAUUCCAUCCUCCAUUUUGCUGAGGCUCAAAGAGGUACAGUGACUUAUCUUCGGUUAUGUAUGCAACUAUUGCAGAGCUGGAUAUUGGACUUAGGCCUCCUGAAGCCCAGCACUGUGCCUGCAGGAGCAUUCCCAACUCCUGUCUUUCUGCUCAAUACAUGGGGAAGAGACGAACAAUUUAGGCUACUCAAAAUGUGGUGGGCAUUUGGGCUCUGGGGAGAGCUUCAGCAUCUCUUCUCUCUUUUCAUGUUCUCCAACUCCUCAAGCAACAUACACACAUAGCAUAAAGAUCACUAGCCAGCUAUUUUCUGUCUUGAAAAAUUUUUAUGAUAAGAGUUUUCUAAUUAGGGAAAGCCACAGUUCAUACACAAAACACAAAUUACUAGGCUCUUUGUCUUUUUCAGAAGAAGUAUUAAUCCAUAAAUAAAUAUACUCUGUUGCCAAGUCACUACCAUGCUGUAUCACAUGGCCAAAGGAUGCCAAAAGGUAUGAGCUCUUGGUGAAUCCCAGCUAUUGACAGCCAGGUGCUGGACCUUAACCAGAGGCAUUGCUAUAGGUGGUUAAGUAUAUGGGCUCUGGUCAGUGGUGACAAAGUUCCUGGGUUCAAAUCCCAACACCCCCAGUUACUAGUUAUGUGACCUUGGACAAGUUGAUUAAAAUCUCUGUACUUCAACUCCUUUAUUUGUAAUAUGGAAAUGAUUUUUUAAAUUACCUAUCUUCUGGGUCUAUUGCAAAAUUAUCUUAUUUAAUAAUAAGAUAAUCCACUUAAGGCACUAUAUGUGAGUUUUUGCAUGUAGUGAGCACUUGAACCAAUAGAGUAUAUUUCCUUUUGAAUGUAAGAAAUUCACAGAGACAGCUUCUCUAUAGUAAAGGUAAGAAUCAAAACUGAGUUUCUAUAAAUUACUUUGUAUUGCUUAGAGAAAGAAGUCAUGGCAAUAGAUUGAAUAUAUUUUAAUUUAAAGUAGAAAAUUAUAUAGGAAAAAUAGAUAUAUCUUCCAGAGCUCAGUCUCAAAGGCCACAUUUUCUUUUGAGUAUUUUAACCUCCAAAACAUACUUAGUAUGUGGUGAAAUUGCCUACUUCUGGGUUGAGUAAUGUGAGCUAUCAUUACCAUGGUAACAACAAGGCCAAUAACUUGAACUCCAGUCAUAGUAGCUACAAUAAAGGGGACUCAGUUUGGAAAUAAUUAGAAUCCAUCCUUUUUGAGACUGAAAUUCAUUGCCUUUAAGACUCAAUCAACAUUCCUGGUGGUAGUCUGGAAUCAGCUCAAAUCAAGAUACAUCUAUCUUUAAAAAGAAUAUAGGACAAGAAAUCCAAAAUAGGAAAAAAAUCAAAUCAUCUUAUCUUUCUGGUGCAUUUACUAGUCUGAUGAGUCAUAAGAAAAUAAUAACCCAGAGGUUAGAAACAAAGACAUAAGCACAAUUCCUUUCAUUCCAUGGGUAAAAUUGAA
rnacentral:lncRNA from 1 species